AUUGAACGCUGGCGGCAGGCCUAACACAUGCAAGUCGAGCGGAUGAAGGGAGCUUGCUCCUGGAUUCAGCGGCGGACGGGUGAGUAAUGCCUAGGAAUCUGCCUGGUAGUGGGGGAUAACGUCCGGAAGCGGGCGCUAAUACCGCAUACGUCCUGAGGGAGAAAGUGGGGGAUCUUCGGACCUCACGCUAUCAUAUGAGCCUAGGUCGGAUUAGCUAGUUGGUGGGGUAAAGGCCUACCAAGGCGACGAUCCGUAACUGGUCUGAGAGGAUGAUCAGUCACACUGGAAGUGAGACACGGUCCAGACUCCUACGGGAGGCAGCAGUGGGGAAUAUUGGACAAAGGGGGAAAGCCUGAUCCAGCCAUGCCGCGUGUGUGGAGAAGGUCUUCGGAUUGUAAAGCACUUUAAGUUGGGAGGAAGGGCAGUAAGUUAAUACCUUGCUGUUUUGACGUUACCAACAGAAUAAGCACCGGCUAACUUCGUG
rnacentral:rRNA from 1 species